GAUGAAUGCUGGCGGCGUGCCUAACGCAUGCAAGUCGAGCGGCAGCGAGGGGUGCUUGCACCCUGUCGGCGAGCGGCGAACGGCUGAGUAACGCGUAGGAAUUUGCCCCAAAGUGAGGAAUAACUGCCCGAAAGGGUAGCUAAUGCCGCAUAUGGUCUUCGGAUUAAAGGAUUUAUCCGCUUUGGGAGAAGCCUGCGUUGGAUUAGGUUGUUGGUAGGGUAAUGGCCUACCAAGCCGACGAUCCAUAGCUGGUCUGAGAGGAUGAUCAGCCAGACUGGAACUGAGACACGGUCCAGACUCCUACGGGAGGCAGCAGUGAGGAAUCUUCCACAAUGGGCGAAAGCCUGAUGGAGCAACGCCGCGUGAAGGAUGAAGGCCUUCGGGUUGUAAACUUCUUUUAUGAGUGAAGAAUAUGACGGUAACUCAUGAAUAAGCACCGGCUAACUACGUG
rnacentral:rRNA from 1 species